rnacentral:tRNA from 1 species
UGUUGGCACAGUGGAAGAGUACUCGCCUGUUAAGUGAGAAUCCAUUGGUUCGAACCCUGUCAUAAGAA